rnacentral:rRNA from 1 species
GAUGAACGCUGGCGGCGUGCCUAAUACAUGCAAGUCGAGCGGCAGCGAGUUUCUCACUGACGUGAGGAAGCAAUUUACAAUGUUCAAUUCACAAUUUUCAGAAAAUGAUCAAAUUUUCAAUUUUCAGACUUAGCUCCCAGGAGCUGUGUGUUUGAAAAUUGAUGUUUGAAAAUUUUUUGAAAAUUGAAAUUUGGUAUCUGUAAAUUGAACUUCAUCACGUGAGNGAGGAAUGUCGGCGAGCGGCGGACGGGUGAGUAACGCGUAGGAAUGUACCCAAAGUGAGGGA